CUCUUAUCCAGGUCCUCAACACCAACUAGCAGAGCCUAGAAGAUAUGAAGGAUAAGAACUCCUGAGCACAUCAAAGUGGAAAUACUGUCUUAUUAUGGAGGAGAUGACUUCUCCAUCAGAGGGACCAAGAGAUAUGAGAAAGUGGGAUCCACAGGACCUAAGGUCCUUGGAAGUGGGUAGAGGAAUUCAGACAGGGCAUAGCCACGAUGAGUUGCCUCUGUUCCAUGGUAUCUCUGCUUUGGAUGGGAAGACUCAAGAGCUGAGGAUGACUUGACUGCUGGAAUCUGGAAGCAUCUUCACUUGCAUAGCUGGUGGCUGAUUCUGGAUGAUGGCUGGGACCCCCUCCUUGGCUGUUAGCUGGAGCAAAUACAGGUGGACAAUCUA